rfam:Brachypodium distachyon strain Bd21 chromosome 5, whole genome shotgun sequence.
GGUCCCGUAGCUCAGUUGGUUAGAGUGCUGGUCUGAUAUGCCAUAGGCCUUGGGUUCAAAUCCCAACGGGACCA